rnacentral:rRNA from 1 species
UACGGAGGGGGCGAGCGUUGUUCGGAAUUAUUGGGCGUAAAGGGCGCGUAGGCGGCCGACCAAGUCGGGUGUGAAAUCCCUCGGCUCAACCGAGGAACUGCACUCGAUACUGGUUGGCUCGAGUCCGGGAGGGGAUGGUGGAAUUCCCAGUGUAGCGGUGAAAUGCGUAGAGAUCAGGAAGAACACCGGUGGCGAAAGCGCUCUGCUGGACCUUAACUGACACUGAGGGACGAAAGCUAGGGGAGCGAAUGGG